rnacentral:misc_RNA from 1 species
CUACAUAACAUCCAAGACAUCAUGUGAGAUAAAUAGCAUUAAAUUAAAGUAUGAAAUAGUGGUGUUUGCAUUGGAAGAGUAGUGUAUAAUACUAGUUUCUUAAUGAUGUGAAAUUUAUGAAAACUAUGUGUAGUGUCUUGGGUUGGGAAUGA